AUACGGAGGGUGCAAGCGUUAUCCGGAUUUAUUGGGUUUAAAGGGUCCGUAGGCGGACUAGUAAGUCAGUGGUGAAAGCCUUCAGCUUAACUGGAGAACUGCCAUUGAUACUGCUAGUCUUGAGUUCGGUUGAAGUGGGCGGAAUAUGUGGUGUAGCGGUGAAAUGCAUAGAUAUCACAUAGAACACCUAUUGCGAAGGCAGCUCACUAAGCCGAUACUGACGCUCAGGGACGAAAGCGUGGGGAGCGAACAGGAUUAGAAACCCCAGUAGUCC
rnacentral:rRNA from 1 species